UGCAAGUCGUACGCUUCUUUUUCCACCGGAGCUUGCUCCACCGGAAAAAGAAGAGUGGCGAACGGGUGAGUAACACGUGGGUAACCUGCCCAUCAGAAGGGGAUAACACUUGGAAACAGGUGCUAAUACCGUAUAACAAUCGAAACCGCAUGGUUUUGAUUUGAAAGGCGCUUUCGGGUGUCGCUGAUGGAUGGACCCGCGGUGCAUUAGCUAGUUGGUGAGGUAACGGCUCACCAAGGCCACGAUGCAUAGCCGACCUGAGAGGGUGAUCGGCCACAUUGGGACUGAGACACGGCCCAAACUCCUACGGGAGGCAGCAGUAGGGAAUCUUCGGCAAUGGACGAAAGUCUGACCGAGCAACGCCGCGUGAGUGAAGAAGGUUUUCGGAUCGUAAAACUCUGUUGUUAGAGAAGAACAAGGAUGAGAGUAACUGUUCAUCCCUUGACGGUAUCUAACCAGAAAGCCACGGCUAACUACGUGCCAGCAGGUAAUA
rnacentral:rRNA from 1 species